AUGUAUUACCCAGCCCUCGUGGUACACUCUGUUCCAGGAAAGCAUGGUAGCAAUGCUCAUCAUCCCAUCCUUGAUGGAAGCACCGAGGGAAAUAUCUCCCAGCAUGAGACCUGCACUGGAAAUACUCACAUAAAGCCAGGUCCUCAAGAAAAUGGAGAGAAGAUUGGACCUUUCAGUGCCUCACACCUGAGCCAGACCCCAGUAAGAGUCACCCAGCAAAAGUUUGCUAGUUUUUCUGCAGCAAGAGCAUCCCAAGCAUUUGGAACCCAUCUGCAGCAACUGCACAUCCAACAUUGCCCAAAAGGAUGUGAUGGAGGGAUCAGAGAUUUAAACUUCCUAUCCCCUGUGGCUCCUUACAAGAAUCAUUAAAAGCAGGCUUUUCAAACUUAUCCUGUGAUGAUGAGACACUGCUUUUUUUUCCCCAUCCAAUCUCUACAUUUUCAUUUCCAGAUCUGCCCUUUGGCAGAAAGAACUGCUCAUGGAAAGACAGUCCUGCAUCACUGUUGGUAAAAUGCUGAUUUUUUUCAUGCCAUGCAGCUUCUAUGAAACAGGAAAUAUUACAGCCUUUAGAAAUCCAUAUAAGAAUUGUAAUAGUAGGGCUAAUUAUAAAAAAUGCUGACUUUUCUGGGCCUCACAUACAAAUCUGUGCUUUUUAGAUGUGCUUUUUGUCUCUGCAGGAGUCUGACUCUUUAAAUUAAAGAAAAGAAGUAUACAAGCAAUUAGAAUCUGACUUUUUG
rnacentral:lncRNA from 1 species